GCAAACUUUCUUUUUCCCCAAGCCUUUCCUCCAGCUCAGAGACGCACCCGUGAUACAGACCCCAGAGCGCCCGCGCGCUGGGAGUUCCCGCUGGGAGAGCCAAGGGAUUAUUUGUAAUAUAGAAAAAUCUACAGGAAGCACAUAUAUAACACGUGGACAAUGGCUCGUCAACACACCGUCUGACCGAGGAGGAGGUUGCAGUCCCUGUGUCUGUUGGCCAUCUGUCCCGCCUCUUUAGAGACCUGCCUACUCAGAUUAAAAAAAGGCCACAAGGGAAAUGCUGCCAAUGUCGAAGGCAUGAAACAAAAACGGCAGAAGCCCUAAAAGGCAUUGAAAAUGAUGAGUUCAACAACUGUUCUGAACAGUGGAAAAAAUAUGUCCAUCAGAGAGCAUCCAACGCAGAGUAUUUGAAAGUGACUGCAGUUUAAACAGGUCGUCAUUGCCACCCAGCCCCUCCGGGCAUCUCUCUCCGCACAGCGGGUGACGAUGGCGAGGGGC